AUAUAUAUAUAUAUAUGCAUAAAAUAUCACUAUGUAUACUUACUGUUAACAUGUCAAUUUGUACAAUGUUUCUCUUUAACGGUAUUGUGAACUAUGUUUUGUUGUUGUUCUCACCUGCAAAGUGAACACGAUGAACAAAAUAGAGGGGCUUUAAUAUUGUAAGCAGUCCACUCACUUUUGCUUUGGUUUUGUUGAACCUAUAAGCUCCAUCCAGCACAUGCCCCUCUCCCCCUCGUAAGAGACAAGCGGUAAACAAUGGAUGGAUGGAUUUUUAUUUUUUUUUCUGCUUGAAAUGACUCAAGAAAUUGGCUUGAAAAAAACAAACACAGAAAAAAAAACCCUCAUAUCAAACAUAUCAAAUCUUCAGAAUGUACAAUACGAAGUCUCUGAAAACAAUAAAUUAUAACAAACUUUUAAAAUCAACUUAAAAUGAGUCAUAUUAAAGAUCAUGUUUUGAAAAUGUCACAAAAAAGCGUAAAUUGACUUUCCUAGUGUAUUGCCACUUUUUUGUGUCAUAUAUUAUUAAAUGGGCUCUUUGCAACAUUUACAGAUGUCUUGAGGGUGCUAACUUUCCAGUGUUAUGUCCCGCCCUCUUCCGGUUUCUCGUACGUAAUGACGUCACUGCGUACGUACGUAACACAUGCACGUGCAUUUGCUUUGGGUGUUAGCUAACAUCUUUACAUAGUCAAUGAAUGUAUAUUAUGUCAUAACAACAACAUGACUCCAAAUGGUGCCUUGCUUCUCUUGGACUUGUUGAUGAGACAUGCAUUAUUAUUUAUUACCCGUGAGUUCAUGCAGGAGAUUGCAGUACUUCUAUGAGCCACAAGAGGGAGGCAGGUACUGAUGAUUUAAAUCCACUUUACACGUCCUCUGUGUGGACUGCGAUGUCAAUGGUCAGAUCAAAAGCUUCCUCCAAAGUCUCGAUACUGCAAGAACUUAAUCGCCAUGAGCAUGAAACCGCAAAGGCAUCAGAGGAGCACGCUUCUGUUUGGAAUGUCACGCAGCUACAAUGAGUUCGUUUCAGUAGACGUGCGGGAAAGUGAAUUGGUUUACGGUUGGUCGUGCUGCUCAUUUCGGUGGAAAUCCCCGUAUCCUCACACAGAAUGUUUUUCACAAUGCGUCAGGUGGUUAGCCUGACCUCGACCUUUCCCUUGAGUGGAUCAGGCGGGCCACCGCCUCGACUAGAUCCCCUUGACCUGAGCCCUGCCAAAUAAAGAUUAGCUCGCAGUGUGGCGUGCAACCACAUCAAUCGUAACCCACGACGUUUGUAAAUACGCUUUAAAGUGGGGAAUUAUGAUGGGGCUUGUUACUCUGGAUACUCUGCAUCUCUUUUAACCACAAGCUAGUAAAAAGGAGUGAUUGCUUCAUUGUCCAGGCUAAUUAACAUUGUGCCAAACGAGACACAUCAUCCAAGUUUUACACUUUGACUUUGUAAGAGACACCUUCAAUAUAUGAAUAAAGACGAGCGAAGCGGUGCCCGAACUUUUUGCCUCCAAGGGCCAAAGAGUAAA